rnacentral:sRNA from 1 species
UGUGGGGCCUAUACCUCAGUCCUGACUUCCUAUUCCUUAGACCCUGACAGCCAGCCCCCAAGCACCUGGGUCCCCAGAGGAUUCGGAGGGUGUCCCCCUCAUCAGCCUGCCCAGCAUGCCACAGGGAGGGAGUCAGCCUGGGCCCAGCCGGGGACUAAGUCUCAUGUCCAGUCAGGGCAGUGUGGACUCAGACCACCUAGGUUAUGAUGGUGGCAGCAGUGGCUCAGACAGUGAGGGUCCCAAUGACACCCUUGGUGAGAAGGCCCCCUUCACAUUGCGGACUCCACCUGGGCCAGCACCUCCACAG